rnacentral:lncRNA from 1 species
GAUACCCAAUAAAUUAUCAUCAUCAUGGUUAGUAGUAAAAGACAAUUCUCAAUUAGGAAGUAGUAGUUAAGGCUGAAACAGAUGAAGAGACAUCCCUGAGCUAUCCCUCAACAAAUUGUCACCAGAUGACUUCUAAAUGUCCAGCACUGAGAGAUGUUACAGGAGUCCCAGUUCUGCCACUUACAAGCUCUUUAUUCUUAGGUAAGUUACUGACUCUAAGUCUCAAUUUCCAGAUCUCUAAAAUAGCAAUGAACAUUAUAUUGACUUUAGUGUUUGU